rnacentral:tRNA from 1 species
GAGGUUAUACCUCAGUGGUAGAGCAUAUGUUUAGCAUGCAUGAGGUCCUGAGUUCAAUCCCCAGAAUCUCC